UGUAGCAUGGCCGAGUGGUCUAAGGUGCAGGUUUUAGGCAACAGUCUCAAAGAGACGUAGGUUCGAAUCCCACCGCUGCCA